UACGUAGGGUGCAAGCGUUAAUCGGAAUUACUGGGCGUAAAGCGUGCGCAGGCGGUCCGUUAAGACAGAUGUGAAAUCCCCGGGCUUAACCUGGGAACUGCAUUUGUGACUGGCGGACUCGAGUAUGGCAGAGGGGGGUAGAAUUCCACGUGUAGCAGUGAAAUGCGUAGAGAUCGGAAAGAACACCAACGGCGAAAGCACUCUGCUGGGCCGACACUGACACUGAGAGACGAAAGCUAGGGGAGCGAAUGGG
rnacentral:rRNA from 1 species